GAAAUGGUACUAAUGACUGGGAAAUGACAAAGAAAUGCAACCACAAGGCUUCUACAUUACGAUAAAUUGCAUUUAUUCUCAUGUCAUACUUGCAUCUAUUCUGCUGACGCAUGCAUUUCCACGGUCAGACCACAUCCUCGAGCUCAACACAUAAAGAUGAGUGUGUGCAUCGGGGUGGGUUUCAGAGCAUUCACCAUCACAUCAAAGAGAGAGAUCAGAAGAAAUGUUCUGCCUGAGGGGUUUCACUGUUUUUAUCUCUUGUGUUGUCCUCCUCAUUGUCCAGCCCAGUCAUGGUUCUGAGAUUAUUGGUGGGAAAGAAGUGCAGCCCCACUCGAUGCCUUUCAUGGCUCUGAUGGCGAAUCCGAUCUGUGGAGGGACACUGAUCCAUCCAAAAUGGGUCCUGACUGCCGCCCACUGUGUUGGCAUUAAGAAGGUGUUACUGGGGGUACACUCCAUUAAAGAAAAGGAAAAGGACUCCAGGCAGGUCAUCAGUGUUAAGAGCCAUUAUCCUCAUCCCUGCUUUGAUGAAAAAGAAAAGGUCAAUGACCUCAUGCUGCUCAAGCUUGCCAAACCGGCGAAGCAAACCAAGACGGUGAAAUGUCUCCCGUUGGGUAACACCGUCAAAGAACCAGCAGCUGGCAGCAGCUGUCUGGUGGCUGGAUGGGGGAAAACAAACAACGUUGCCAAGAAAGCUUCAGAUGUCCUGAUGUCUGCCAACGUGACUGUGAUCGACAGAGUGAAGUGCAACUCUCCUGAAUAUUACAAUUUUGACCCUGUUAUCACCAAAGGCAUGAUAUGUGCUGGUUCAGAUGGUAAAAAACAGGUUGACGCCUGUAAGGGGGAUUCCGGAGGACCACUGUUAUGCAACGGAGCGCUCGUCGGUGUCACUUCUUUUGGAAAGGGGUGUGGCCAGAUUAAAAAGCCUGGAGUGUACUCAUUUAUCUCAGAGAGUCAACUCAACUGGAUGAAAAAGACGAUGAAGAAGUCUGAAAUGGAAUGAGACUUUCUUGUUUGUUACUCUGUAUAAAGCUUGUCUAUCUUUGUACUUUUUGCUACGUUCACUUUAUCUUAAAGGGAAAUUUCGGUUUAUUUCAACCCGUCUCCUAUUGUCCUAAAUUUGUUAAAAUGUAACCACACUUUGGAAAGCAGAGCUAAAUGGUAAACAAACAUGGCAGCACACUGGUAAGGUAAGACAACACGUUUACAUGUCGUUUUCUAUAUGUUCUCUUACAUUUAUCCUAACGAUAUGAAGCGGUCUUUGUGGAGAAAAAGCUUGUUUAGUGGACUAACUUUGCACUUGAAGGUUUCCUGUUCACUUAUUAUUGAACAGGUCUGACGCUACUAUGUGCCCUGGCUGUAUCUAGGCUAAUAGCUAACAUGCUAACUAUUAUUUCUAUGUCACUAGUCACUUGAAGCAAAUUUAGGACGAUAGAAGACAGGUUGAAAUAAACCGAAACACCAUAUAGAAAAAGAGAAUCGCAUCAUAGAAUUUUUUUUUAAAGCUGUACAUCCGCAGGCCAGUCCCCAGAAGAUGAUGUUGGCAAUGUACGUUUCUGCGAACCACAAAUACGGUAAUCUUGUCAUCGUGAGGUUGAGGGGAUGGUAGAUGGUGUGUUUUAGACGAGACGCCUGCUAAGCUGCAGACCACUGUUCGAAACCAACAAACAGCGAAACCAUGUGUGGUUUACCAAGUCAUUGCUGUUUUUCCAGCUGCUUUUUAGGCUCCAAAUGCAGGUGCUGUUUAAGGAUCUGUCACUGUGUUUCAAGUACCGUUUUAGGCAUGAAAGUGGCUGUUUUUCACCAAGACCUCACUGCUUUUCCUGCUGGGAUAGUGUCAGAAAAAGCGGUUGUUUUCUGUAGAGACAUUGCUGCUUUUCUAGAUGAGAUUGUGCCCCCAAACAUGAUAUUUUCCCACCACAACCAAGACUUUUUGUGGCCUAAACCUAACCACACACUAACCUCAGCAUUGUUGAAACGUAAAGUUUGAGCGUAUCUACUAUUUAAUAACACGUUAAUUUAACGUAUCAAUGGUUUGCAGACUCAUUCAAUGUCAGCAUUUUUUGUCUUUUUCUGGGGUGACACCAAAGAGCUAAGAUGAAAGCAAAGAAUCAAACAAACCGCUUCACCACUUCCUUCAUCAAACACUUUAACUGACAUUGAGGCUUCAGCUUUGUGGAAAGAUUUUAUGCUAAAGGUUCAUUCUUGGGCACAUUAUUCCUCAUUAUUGAUUCAUAUUGUUACUGCAUGAAACCUUCAAAUAAAUGACAUUUUCUACUAUCUUUAAGGUAGAUACAUAUUUCUAUCUUUCAUUCUUUUUAUGGCUGUCGCAUUUUCAUGACAGUGGCUAGAGUACAGUAAUUUCACACCUUCAUGGCAUCACAGAUUUGUGUUUCAGUUCUCUGGUUUCAAGUCGUGAGAGCAGCGUCCAAAUUAAAAACCUUUGAUGUCUCAGUAAA